UACAGAGGUCUCAAGCGUUGUUCGGAUUCAUUGGGCGUAAAGGGUGCGUAGGCGGCGGGGUAAGUCGGGUGUGAAAUCUCAGAGCUCAACUCUGAAAUGGCACUUGAUACUGCUCUGCUAGAGGACUGGAGAGGAGAUUGGAAUUCACGGUGUAGCAGUGAAAUGCGUAGAUAUCGUGAGGAAGACCGGUGGCGAAGGCGGAUCUCUGGACAGUUCCUGACGCUGAGGCGCGAAGGCCAGGGGAGCAAACGGG
rnacentral:rRNA from 1 species